GUGUCAGCCGCCGCGGUAAUACGUAGGAUGCAAGCGUUGUCCGGAUUUACUGGGCGUAAAGCGCGCGCAGGCGGCACAGUAAGUACGUCGUGAAAUAUCCCGGCUCAACCGGGAGGGUGCGAUGUAGACUGCUGAGCUUGAGGUCGGUAGAGGGGGGUGGAAUUGCUGGUGUAGCGGUGAAAUGCGUAGAGAUCAGCAGGAACACCCGUGGCGAAGGCGGCCCCCUGGGCCGUACCUGACGCUGAGGCGCGAAGGCUAGGGGAGCGAACGGGAUUAGAUACCCCGGUAGUCC
rnacentral:rRNA from 1 species